rnacentral:rRNA from 1 species
CUUGUACACACCGCCCGUCACACCAUGGGAGCGGGUUCUGCCAGAAGUAGUUAGCCUAACCGCAAGGAGGGCGAUUACCACGGCAGGGUUUGUGACUGGGGUG